rnacentral:rRNA from 2 species
AAAUUGAAGAGUUUGAUCAUGGCUCAGAUUGAACGCUGGCGGCAGGCCUAACACAUGCAAGUCGAACGGUAACAGGAAGCAGCUUGCUGCUUCGCUGACGAGUGGCGGACGGGUGAGUAAUGUCUGGGAAACUGCCUGAUGGAGGGGGAUAACUACUGGAAACGGUAGCUAAUACCGCAUAAUGUCGCAAGACCAAAGAGGGGGACCUUCGGGCCUCUUGCCAUCGGAUGUGCCCAGAUGGGAUUAGCUUGUUGGUGGGGUAACGGCUCACCAAGGCGACGAUCCCUAGCUGGUCUGAGAGGAUGACCAGCCACACUGGAACUGAGACACGGUCCAGACUCCUACGGGAGGCAGCAGUGGGGAAUAUUGCACAAUGGGCGCAAGCCUGAUGCAGCCAUGCCGCGUGUAUGAAGAAGGCCUUCGGGUUGUAAAGUACUUUCAGCGGGGAGGAAGGGAGUAAAGUUAAUACCUUUGCUCAUUGACGUUAUCCGCAGAAGAAGCACCGGCUAACUCCGUGCCAGCAGCCGCGGUAAUACGGAGGGUGCAAGCGUUAAUCGGAAUUACUGGGCGUAAAGCGCACGCAGGCGGUUUGUUAAGUCAGAUGUGAAAUCCCCGGGCUCAACCUGGGAACUGCAUCUGAUACUGGCAAGCUUGAGUCUCGUAGAGGGGGGUAGAAUUCCAGGUGUAGCGGUGAAAUGCGUAGAGAUCUGGAGGAAUACCGGUGGCGAAGGCGGCCCCCUGGACGAAGACUGACGCUCAGGUGCGAAAGCGUGGGGAGCAAACAGGAUUAGAUACCCUGGUAGUCCACGCCGUAAACGAUGUCGACUUGGAGGUUGUGCCCUUGAGGCGUGGCUUCCGGAGCUAACGCGUUAAGUCGACCGCCUGGGGAGUACGGCCGCAAGGUUAAAACUCAAAUGAAUUGACGGGGGCCCGCACAAGCGGUGGAGCAUGUGGUUUAAUUCGAUGCAACGCGAAGAACCUUACCUGGUCUUGACAUCCACGGAAGUUUUCAGAGAUGAGAAUGUGCCUUCGGGAACCGUGAGACAGGUGCUGCAUGGCUGUCGUCAGCUCGUGUUGUGAAAUGUUGGGUUAAGUCCCGCAACGAGCGCAACCCUUAUCCUUUGUUGCCAGCGGUCCGGCCGGGAACUCAAAGGAGACUGCCAGUGAUAAACUGGAGGAAGGUGGGGAUGACGUCAAGUCAUCAUGGCCCUUACGACCAGGGCUACACACGUGCUACAAUGGCGCAUACAAAGAGAAGCGACCUCGCGAGAGCAAGCGGACCUCAUAAAGUGCGUCGUAGUCCGGAUUGGAGUCUGCAACUCGACUCCAUGAAGUCGGAAUCGCUAGUAAUCGUGGAUCAGAAUGCCACGGUGAAUACGUUCCCGGGCCUUGUACACACCGCCCGUCACACCAUGGGAGUGGGUUGCAAAAGAAGUAGGUAGCUUAACCUUCGGGAGGGCGCUUACCACUUUGUGAUUCAUGACUGGGGUGAAGUCGUAACAAGGUAACCGUAGGGGAACCUGCGGUUGGAUCACCUCCUUACCUUAAAGAAGC